UACGAAGGGGGCUAGCGUUGUUCGGAAUUACUGGGCGUAAAGCGCGCGCAGGCGGUCUUCCAAGUCAGUGGUGAAAGCCUGGAGCUCAACUCCAGAACUGCCAUUGAAACUGUUAGACUUGAGUACGAGAGAGGUGAGUGGAAUUCCCAGUGUAGAGGUGAAAUUCGUAGAUAUUCGGAAGAACACCAGUGGCGAAGGCGGCUCACUGGACUGGUAUUGACGCUGAGGUGCGAAAGCGUGGGGAGCAAACAGGG
rnacentral:rRNA from 1 species